rnacentral:snRNA from 1 species
AUCACUUCUCGGCCUUUUGGCUAAGAUCAAGUGUAGUAUCUGUUCUUACCAGUUUAAAAAUGGGUUUCCAGAGUGCGAUUUCUACUUAAUGAUUAGCUUUUAGAAAUCAUCCUUUUCUUUAUCCUCCCAGCUAUCUCAAAUCUUAAUUCUGAAACUCAUUAUGUAAUUACAAAUUAACUACAUUAUGGAGAGCCAAC